rnacentral:rRNA from 1 species
UACGAAGGGGGCUAGCGUUGCUCGGAAUUACUGGGCGUAAAGGGCGCGUAGGCGGCCGAUCAAAGUCAGGCGUGAAAUUCCCGGGCUCAACCUGGGGGCUGCGUUUGAUACGUGCAGACUUGAGUGAGGAAGAGGGUUGUGGAAUUCCCAGUGUAGAGGUGAAAUUCGUAGAUAUUGGGAAGAACACCGGUGGCGAAGGCGGCAACCUGGUCCUUUACUGACGCUGAGGCGCGAAAGCGUGGGGAGCGAAACAGGAUUGAG